GGGGAGGCUUUCUCCUUAUCAGUGUCUUAAUCUGCAUCUGGAGAAUGAAGAAAAGAGCCACUAGAACUGAUCACAAUGAGCCAAAAAAACAGGAUGAUGUCAUGUAUGCCACCGUUACACACAGCAGAUCCAGACCUGUACUGACCACUGCUGAUGCUGCUGAUGUUGAUGCUGAUGUCCAGUUUGCUACAGUCAGG